rnacentral:rRNA from 1 species
AGCGAACGCUGGCGGCAGGCCUAACACAUGCAAGUCGAACGGAUCCUUCGGGAUUAGUGGCGGACGGGUGAGUAACACGUGGGAACGUGCCCUUUGGUUCGGAACAACUCAGGGAAACUUGAGCUAAUACCGGAUGUGCCCUUCGGGGGAAAGAUUUAUCGCCAUUGGAGCGGCCCGCGUCUGAUUAGCUAGUUGGUGAGGUAACGGCCCACCAAGGCGACGAUCAGUAGCUGGUCUGAGAGGAUGAUCAGCCACACUGGGACUGAGACACGGCCCAGACUCCUACGGGAGGCAGCAGUGGGUAAUCUUGCGCAAUGGGCGAAAGCCUGACGCAGCCAUGCCGCGUGAAUGAUGAAGGUCUUAGGAUUGUAAAAUUCUUUCAGCGGGGACGUUAAUGACGGUACCCGCAGAAGAAGCUCCGGCUAACUUCGUG